rnacentral:rRNA from 1 species
UACGUAGGGGGCAAGCGUUGUCCGGAUUUAUUGGGCGUAAAGAGCGUGUAGGCGGCCAGGUAGGUCAGCUGUGAAAACUCGAGGCUCAACCUCGAGACGUCGGUUGAAACCACUUGGCUAGAGUCCGGAAGAGGAGAGUGGAAUUCCUGGUGUAGCGGUGAAAUGCGCAGAUAUCAGGAAGAACACCCGUGGCGAAGGCGGCUCUCUGGGGACGGUACUGACGCUGAGACGCGAAAGCGUGGGGAGCGAACAGG